AUUACACAUCAUCAAAAGGAGAAAGGGAAAGAGAGGGAUUCGAACCCUCGGUACGAUUAACUCGUACAAUGGAUUAGCAAUCCAACGC
rnacentral:tRNA from 1 species